rnacentral:rRNA from 1 species
UACGGAGGGGGCUAGCGUUGUUCGGAAUUACUGGGCGUAAAGCGCGCGUAGGCGGACCUGCAAGUCGGGGGUGAAAGCCCGAGGCUCAACCUCGGAACUGCCUUCGAUACUGCGGGUCUCGAGUCCGGGAGAUGUGAGUGGAAUUCCUAGUGUAGAGGUGAAAUUCGUAGAUAUGGGGAGGAACACCGGUGGCGAAGGCGGCCAUCUGGACGGUAACUGACGCUGAGACGCGAAAGCGUGGGGAGCAAACAGG